rnacentral:rRNA from 1 species
UACAGAGGUCUCAAGCGUUGUUCGGAUUCAUUGGGCGUAAAGGGUGCGUAGGCGGCGCGGUAAGUCGGGUGUGAAAUCUCGGGGCUCAACCCCGAAACUGCACUUGAUACUGCCUUGCUCGAGUACUGGAGAGGAGACUGGAAUUUACGGUGUAGCAGUGAAAUGCGUAGAUAUCGUAAGGAAGACCAGUGGCGAAGGCGAGUCUCUGGACAGUUACUGACGCUGAGGCACGAAGGCCAGGGGAGCAAACGGG